rnacentral:rRNA from 1 species
GAUGAACGCUGGCGGCGUGCCUAAUACAUGCAAGUCGCGCGAAUGGAUUAAGAGCUUGCUCUUAUGAAGUUAGCGGCGGACGGGUGAGUAACACGUGGGUAACCUGCCCAUAAGACUGGGAUAACUCCGGGAAACCGGGGCUAAUACCGGAUAACAUUUUGAACCGCAUGGUUCGAAAUUGAAAGGCGGCUUCUGCUGUCACUUAUGGAUGGACCCGGGUCGCAUUAGCUAGUUGGUGAGGUAACGUCUCACCAAGGAAACGAUGCGUGGCCGACCUGAGAGGGUGAUCGGCCACACUGGGACUGAGACACGGCCCAGACUCCUACGGGAGGCAGGAGUAGGGAAUCUUCCGCAAUGGACGAAAGUCUGACGGAGCAACGCCGCGUGAGUGAUGAAGGCUUUCGGGUCGUAAAACUCUGUUGUUAGGGAAGAACAAGUGCUAGUUGAAUAAGCUGGCACCUUGACGGUACCUAACCAGAAAGCCACGGCUAACUACGUGCCAGCCGCCGCAGUAA